CAGCAGCCGCGGGAAUACGUAGGGUGCAAGCGUUAAUCGGAAUUACUGGGCGUAAAGCGUGCGCAGGCGGUGUUGUAAGACUGAUGUGAAAUCCCCGGGCUCAACCUGGGAACUGCAUUGGUGACUGCAACGCUGGAGUGCGGCAGAGGGGGAUGGAAUUCCGCGUGUAGCAGUGAAAUGCGUAGGUAUGCGGAGGAACACCGAUGGCGAAGGCAAUCCCCUGGGCCUGCACUGACGCUCAUGCACGAAAGCGUGGGGAGCAAACAGGAUUAGAUACCCCGGUAGUCCCUGUCUCUUAUAC
rnacentral:rRNA from 1 species